UGAGCAUUUUGAUUUUUGAUAUUUCUAGCUA
rnacentral:piRNA from 1 species